UACGAGGGGUGCAAGCGUUGUUCGGAAUUAUUGGGCGUAAAGGGCAUGUAGGCGGUUUGGUAAGCCUGAUGUGAAAUCCUGCAGCUUAACUGUAGAACUGCAUUGGGUACUGCCGAACUUGAAUCACUGAGGGGAAACUAGAAUUCCAGGUGUAGGGGUGGAAUCUGUAGAUAUCUGGAAGAAUACCGGUGGCGAAGGCGGGUUUCUAGCAGAUGAUUGACGCUGAGGUGCGAAAGUGCGGGGAGCGAACAGGAUUAGAUACCCU
rnacentral:rRNA from 1 species